rnacentral:tRNA from 1 species
GGAGUAGCUCAGUUGGUAGAGCACCGGUCUCCAAAACCGGGUGUCGCAGGUGAGAACUGCCUGUGGCAGUUCGCAAGGGAGACCACUCUUGCAAACUGGUUUGCAAAGAUGUGGCGACGGGGUCGCGGAACGUGACCAAGUCCUGCCAGAUUUG